rnacentral:rRNA from 1 species
GACGAACGUUUGCGGCGUGCUUAACACAUGCAAGUCGAACGGAAAGGCCCUGCUUUUGUGGGGUGCUCGAGUGGCGAACGGGUGAGUAACACGUGAGUAACCUGCCCUUGACUUUGGGAUAACUUCAGGAAACUGGGGCUAAUACCGGAUAGGAGCUCCUGCUGCAUGGUGGGGGUUGGAAAGUUUCGGCGGUUGGGGAUGGACUCGCGGCUUAUCAGCUUGUUGGUGGGGUAGUGGCUUACCAAGGCUUUGACGGGUAGCCGGCCUGAGAGGGUGACCGGCCACAUUGGGACUGAGAUACGGCCCAGGCUCCUACGGGAGGCAGCAGUGGGGAAUAUUGCACAAUGGGCGGAAGCCUGAUGCAGCAACGCCGCGUGCGGGAUGACGGCCUUCGGGUUGUAAACCGCUUUCGCCUGUGACGAAGCGUGAGUGACGGUAAUGGGUAAAGAAGCACCGGCUAACUACGUGCCAGCAGCCGCGGUGAUACGUAGGGUGCGAGCGUUGUCCGGAUUUAUUGGGCGUAAAGGGCUCGUAGGUGGUUGAUCGCGUCGGAAGUGUAAUCUUGGGGCUUAACCCUGAGCGUGCUUUCGAUACGGGUUGACUUGAGGAAGGUAGGGGAGAAUGGAAUUCCUGGUGGAGCGGUGGAAUGCGCAGAUAUCAGGAGGAACACCAGUGGCGAAGGCGGUUCUCUGGGCCUUUCCUGACGCUGAGGAGCGAAAGCGUGGGGAGCGAACAGGCUUAGAUACCCUGGUAGUCCACGCUGUAAACGGUGGGUACUAGGUGUGGGGUCCAUUCCACGGGUUCCGUGCCGUAGCUAACGCUUUAAGUACCCCGCCUGGGGAGUACGGCCGCAAGGCUAAAACUCAAAGGAAUUGACGGGGCCCCGCACAAGCGGCGGAGCAUGCGGAUUAAUUCGAUGCAACGCGUAGAACCUUACCUGGGUUUGACAUGGAUCGGGAGCGCUCAGAGAUGGGUGUGCCUCUUUUGGGGUCGGUUCACAGGUGGUGCAUGGCUGUCGUCAGCUCGUGUCGUGAGAUGUUGGGUUAAGUCCCGCAACGAGUGCAACCCUUGUUCACUGUUGCCAGCACGUUAUGGUGGGGACUCAGUGGAGACCGCCGGGGUCAACUCGGAGGAAGGUGGGGAUGACGUCAAGUCAUCAUGCCCCUUAUGUCCAGGGCUUCACGCAUGCUACAAUGGCUGGUACAGAGAGUGGCGAGCCUGUGAGGGUGAGCGAAUCUCGGAAAGCCGGUCUCAGUUCGGAUUGGGGUCUGCAACUCGACCUCAUGAAGUCGGAGUCGCUAGUAAUCGCAGAUCAGCAACGCUGCGGUGAAUACGUUCCCGGGGCU